rnacentral:rRNA from 1 species
AGAGUUUGAUCCUGGCUCAGGACGAACGCUGGCGGCGUGGAUUAGGCAUGCAAGUCGAACGCGAACGGAUUGCUUCGGUAAUCUUAUUAGAGUGGCGAACGGGUGAGUAACGCGUAGGUAAUCUACCUUUAAGUGGGGGAUAGCCUCGGGAAACCGGGGGUAAUACCGCAUGUGUCCGGCAUUAGCCGGAUAAAAGUGGCCUCUAAUUAAGCUAUUGCUUAGAGAUGAGCCUGCGUCCUAUUAGUUAGUUGGUAAGGUAAGAGCUUACCAAGGCGAUGAUAGGUAGGCGGCCUUAACGGGUGGUCGCCACACUGGGAUUGAGAUACGGCCCAGACUCCUACGGGAGGCAGCAGUCGAGAAUAGUCUACAAUGGGGGAAACCCUGAUAGUGCGACGCCGCGUGAACGAUGAAUCCUUUCGGGGUGUAAAGUUCUUUUCUGCGUGAGCAAGACAUAUAAGAUUAAUAGUUUUAUGUGUAAGAUAUUAGCGCAGGAAUAAGCUCCGGCUAACUCCGUGCCAGCAGCCGCGGUAACACGGGGGGAGCAAGCGUUGUCCGGAAUCACUAGGCGUAAAGGGCAAGUAGGCGGAUCAAUCAGUCAGGUGUUAAAGGCGUCGGCUCAACCGGCGUAUAGCAUUUGAUACCGUUGAUCUAGAGUGAAGUAGAGGAAGACGGAAUUCCUGGUGUAGCGGUGGAAUGCGCAGAUAUCAGGAAGAACACCGAUGGCGAAGGCAGUCUUCUGGGCUUCAACUGACGCUAAAUUGCGAAGGUGUGGGUAUCGAACAGGAUUAGAUACCCUGGUAGUCCACACAGUAAACGAUGAACACUAGGUGUUGGUCUCGUCAGAAAGAGAUCAGUGCCGUAGCAAACGCGAUAAGUGUUUCGCCUGGGGAGUACGAUCGCAAGGUUGAAACUCAAAGGAAUUGACGGGGCCCCUCACAAGCGGUGGAGCAUGUGGUUUAAUUCGAUGCAACGCGAAGAACCUUACCUGGGCUUGACAUCCUUGGAAUUUAUCAGAGAUGAUUAAGUGCCCUUUCGGGGGAACCAAGUGACAGGUGCUGCAUGGCUGUCGUCAGCUCGUGUCGUGAGAUGUUGGGUUAAGUCCCGCAACGAGCGCAACCCCUAUCUUUAGUUACUACCACGUAAAGGUGAGGACUCUAAAGAGACUGCCAGUGUAAUAAACUGGAGGAAGGUGGGGACGACGUCAAGUCAUCAUGGUCCUUAUGUCCAGGGCUACACACGUGCUACAAUGGUCGGUACAGAGGGAAGCGAGACAGUGAUGUGGAGCAAAUCCCAGAAAGCCGAUCUCAGUUCGGAUUGGAGUCUGCAACUCGACUCCAUGAAGUUGGAAUCGCUAGUAAUCGCGUAUCAGAACGACGCGGUGAAUACGUUCCCGGGGCUUGUACACACCGCCCGUC